CGGGACGGGGUGGGAGGUAAUGUCUGGGAAACGUGCCUGAUGGAGGGGGAUAACUACUGGAAACGGUAGCUAAUACCGCAUAACGUCGCAAGACCAAAGAGGGGGACCUUCGGGCCUCUUGCCAUCGGAUGUGCCCAGAUGGGAUUAGCUAGUAGGUGGGGUAACGGCUCACCUAGGCGACGAUCCCUAGCUGGUCUGAGAGGAUGACCAGCCACACUGGAACUGAGACACGGUCCAG
rnacentral:rRNA from 1 species